rnacentral:rRNA from 1 species
UGGGGAAUUUUGGACAAUGGGCGAAAGCCUGAUCCAGCAAUGCCGCGUGUGUGAAGAAGGCCUUCGGGUUGUAAAGCACUUUUGUCCGGAAAGAAAUCCUUGGCUCUAAUACAGUCGGGGGAUGACGGUACCGGAAGAAUAAGCACCGGCUAACUACGUGCCAGCAGCCGCGGUAAUACGUAGGGUGCAAGCGUUAAUCGGAAUUACUGGGCGUAAAGCGUGCGCAGGCGGUUUGCUAAGACCGAUGUGAAAUCCCCGGGCUCAACCUGGGAACUGCAUUGGUGACUGGCAGGCUAGAGUAUGGCAGAGGGGGGUAGAAUUCCACGUGUAGCAGUGAAAUGCGUAGAGAUGUGGAGGAAUACCGAUGGCGAAGGCAGCCCCCUGGGCCAAUACUGACGCUCAUGCACGAAAGCGUGGGGAGCAAACAGGAUUAGAUACCCUGGUAGUCCACGCCCUAAACGAUGUCAACUAGUUGUUGGGGAUUCAUUUCCUUAGUAACGUAGCUAACGCGUGAAGCUGACCGCCUGGGGAGUACGGUCGCAAGAUUAAAACUCAAAUGAAUUG